rfam:Candidatus Adlerbacteria bacterium RIFCSPHIGHO2_12_FTLL_53_18 rifcsphigho2_12_scaffold_685, whole genome shotgun sequence.
CAAUGGAAACUUAAGGGCGUAUGGUGGAUGCCUAGGCUUUAAAAGGCGAUGAAGGACGCGGCGUGGCGGCGAUAUGCUUCGGGGAGGUGCCAAGCAACCUUCGAUCCGGAGAUUUCCGAAUGAGGAAACUCUUUAGAAAGAAAUUUCUAAAAUCUGGCAGCAAUGUCAGAUGCAAACCUCGGGAAGUGAAACAUCUCAGUACCGAGAGGAAAAGAAACCAAUAGGUAUUUCGUUAGUAGCGGCGAGCGAAAACGAAUCUAGCCCAAACCGUAGAAUUUCUCAGACCAUUCAACCUUGGUUGAGUGGUACGAGAAAUUCGCGGGGUUGUAAGGCGUUGUUAUCUGGUUCGACCAGAAAAAAGUUACAAAUUGUUUUGUUAGCCGAAGCUGCUGGGAAGCAGCGCCCCAGAAGGUGAAAGCCCUGUAGGCGAAAACGAAACAACUUUUACAAUGUCCUUGAGUAGCUCAAGACACGUAUGGCUUGAGUGAACGUGCCGGAACUAACCGGUAAGGCUACAUACUUUUAAAGACCGAUAGUGAACUAGUACCGUGAGGGAAAGGUGAAAAGCACCCCGGAAGGGGAGUGAAAUAGAUCUGAAACCAUAUGUCUACAAUGAGUGGAUGAGGUCGCAAGACCUCUACCGCGUGCCUAUUGAAGAAUGAGCCUGCGAG